rnacentral:rRNA from 1 species
AUUGAACGCUGGCGGCAGGCCUAACACAUGCAAGUCGGGCGAGCGGCGGACGGGUGAGUAAUGUAUGGGGCUCUGCCUGAUGGCGGGGGAUAACUACUGGAACCGGUAGCUAAUCCCGCAUACCAUCAGAUGACCCCAUAUGGGCUUAGCUUGUAGUUGCGGUAACGGCUAACCUAGGCGACGAUCCCUAGCUGGUCUGAGAGGAUGAUGAGCAACAAGGGGACUGAGACACGGGCCAGAGUACUAAGGGAGGCAGCAGUGGGGAAUAUUGCGCAAGGGGGGCAACGCUGACGCAGCCAUGCCGCGUGAAGGAAGAAGGCGUUCGGGGGGUAAAGUUCUUGCGGUAGCGAGGCGUUAACUACAGAAGAAGCACCGGCUAACUCCGUGCCAGCAGCCGCGGUAAUAC